UGGGGUGCCAGGUCAGCUGCAGGAGCACACCCAAGUUUGCAGAAUGAGGCGGCCUGGCGUCCCUGGACCUUCCCUUCCAACCCUGUUUCCCAGGGUCAAACCUUGUUCUCUAAGUGUCCCUUGUUCCAUUCCCCCAUCGCCAUGACCACGUGGGAGGAACUCUGGCGUCAGAGAACCCGGAGCUAGAAUCCCAGCUCCGCUAUUUCCAGCUGCGUGACUUUGGGCAAAUGACUUCGCCCCUCUGAGCCUCAACUUCCUCACCUGCCAGGCAGCGACGGUACUAGAAUUUGCCUCCUGGGGUUGCUGGGAGGAUUUACAGAGCCCACAAGCAGUGCUCCCGCAGCCACCGAGUCCUCCCAUCUCCCCUGCCACUUCCCCUCCGUGGCCGCUGAUCCCGACAGUCCCACAGCUGCCCCUCCUCCGGCCCCAAGUACUGCAAGUUCUGGAGUAGAUGACUUUCAAAUCUGGGAAGGAGAGCCCAUCACACACACCUUGAGCUGGAAACUGGCCACCAGCGGGCAGAACCGGCCUGGACGACUGACCUUGAGGGGCUCCCUGGGGAGGGGGCUGCGAAGCCCUCCUCGGCCUGACCCCUGCCCCGAGUCCCGAAGAGAGGACGGCGAUCUGCAUGCCACUCAGGAGGAGAGCUGGUGACCAAGUUACUUAACCAAGUUACUUAACCUCACUGGGCCUCAGGGUCCUCCCUUGUUUCAAAACGCCUGGCUUUCCUUUGGCAGGGGUUUCUCACAUGUCUUUGUUUUGGUAGAAAAUCCUUUCAUCAGGGAAAAUCUUGCACAGAUCCCCAGUAUAUAAAACAGUCCAGAACAGAGCUAGCUGUCCUGGCUGAGGUCGGUGAUGGGAGGAGGGGACAGCGUCCAGCACAUUCUGCACCCACAGAGGGGCCCCAGGGGACGGGCUGGGGGCUUGAAGCCUCAGGGAACUUAGAAGUCCCCAUUGACUCUUUCAGUUUUAAGAUUCUAGGACUGUCUACGAGCGCACAUCCAAGGAUGUACGAGGCCUGACGUUAUGCCAUCCAGGUCAUCCUCGGACCAGGAAACGCUGACCAGACAGGUGAAGUUCUUGAGAUUCAGAGGAUUAACGUCUUCAUCCGGAUCUGAUCUUUUUGAAAGGGGUAGAGGUUGGAGUGCCUAAGACCACGCCUCUCCAGCUGUGCGACUAUGGGCAAGUUAACUACCCUCUCUGGGGUUUCCUGGGCUGUAAAAGGGGGAAGGAUAAUACUUAUCUCAUAGGGCUGAUGUGAAUGCAAAAGCUGGCAAUGCAUCUCUUCAGUUCAGCACAGUGUCCAGCACAUAGUAAGUGCUUAAUAAAUAUUAGCUGUUGCUAUAGAUUCUUUUGGAGAAGGAAGGACACUUGGCACUCGGGACAUUUAUGCUGCUUAAUCCUCAUAGGAGCCCCACUGAUGAGUAAACUGAUGUGAGAGGCUAAUUUGUCCCGAGUCAUGCGGCUGGUAAGUGGUUGAACUAAAAUCUAAACCCGCAGCUUUUAAUGCCAAGGCCUGUGUUCUUUUUUCCUGCUCCUCCCUACAAACACUGCUUCUAGAAGGCCCCACCAGGAAAGCCCCAGUCUGUGCCAGGCAUAGUUUCCCAAUGUCGGAGGGUUUUCCGGCAUCUGGUCAGUGACUCAGAGUGUAACAUCAAAGCAGAUACUUCUGGUCAGGGCAAGACUGGAGUUACCAACUACCAAUUUAGUUAAGUACAAAACCCACCCGACAAUGUGGAAAGCAUAAAAAAAAUUAUCUUGUGUUCUACUGAAAAUGGGUCAGAAAUCAGAAAUCAUGUUCACAAGAAAAGAUGGCAAAUUUGUCCUAUGGGGGUAGGAGCCCCCUAAUCCGAAAACAAGAGGGUCAGGUUUUCCCAAAGAUUAGCUUUGGGAACUCCUGCAUGGGAUAGAGAAGAAGCUAACUUUUAAAAAGUUCUGUGGUCCAGAUAAUUCUGGAAACACUGAGAAGGUAUCUAUCUUCACCACGAGACUUGUCAGAGCCUUUAAUGUGCUAAUGUGCAUUGCGACCCACCAGGAUGACCACCCUGUGAAUACAGUGUCUCUCCAACUUAUUUGGCCACAGAACCCUUUCGCCCAGAGCUCUUGAGAGGGGGUGUGGGGAACCCACCGAAAAAAGUGAUGGCGAAAAACCAGCUGCUCCCACAGUUACCCUCCAGUGGGGUCUCUGAGCACACAAGUUAGAUGUGUCCAGAGUCAGAGAUGGAAAAUGGAAGAGUGCUGAAAAUCCCAUCAGGCUUGAACUUCAUCUCCCCUGGGGAUCGGAGGGUUGAGGAUGGAGAGGAACGUGGCCAGCAUCACAUGCAGGUUAGAGGCAGAGCUGGGUCUACUGGGUCAUCCUCAAGCUGGUUCAACUCUGGGUGCCCGACUGGAUCAUAAUCAGAUGUGGGUUCUGGGCCAGCGGUGGCUCCCCUGGCAGCUUUGGGGACCAUGUUUUAUAAAAAAGAAACGUUUCUCACUGUGGACAAUUUCAAACAUAAGUAAACGUAGAGACAGGAGCACAGUGAAGCCCUAUAUACCCAUCACCUCGAGUCAACCAUCAUCGACAUUUUGUCGAUCAUUUUAAAAACUGUCCUCCCCCCUGCAGCAUCUUCCAGAGUCAUUACAGCAAAUCUCAGUUCAUCCUUAAAUGCUGUAUACAUCUCUGAAAAGGACUUGGAAGUGCACUGAGCCUGCCUUUGUCGCACUAAGCAAAAUAAAUGAUUCCUGAUGUCACUUGAGACGUAGCCCCUCUUCCAGCAGGGACCCUGCUUUUGAAGCCACAUUAAGAUUAGAGGCUUUAACUCUUUCUACUCAGUCGUCAGGGAGCAAGCCUCUGAGAUCAUCGAAAAUGAAAGAAAAGGUGCUGCCCACAUGGUAAAGUUUCAUUUCCCAACCAAGAACAAGAAGAAGAGCAAAAAAAGAUCAGAAGCAAACAGGGCAAGACGACAACCAGCGUCGCCUGGGUGGUGAACCCAUGGGGGUGUGUUGUAUCAGGUUCUGUGCUUCUCUAAAUAUGUGCUAUUGCACAUUUGCCAGUGAGCCUGGCCCUGCUGCCCUGACGAAGACUGGGGUCCUGGAUAGGGUUUGGGUGGGGGAGAGGCAAGGGGUGGCCAUUUCAUCCUGGCAGCCCGGCCUCCAGAAAGCCCUCAUCCUCCCAGCUCAAAUGUCAGUCCUAGAUGUCACAUUGUGUCCCCAGGUCCUGGCCCAGCGCCCCACACUGAGAGUGGGUGUUCAGAAUGCUUGAUGAGUGAGCCCGGCCAGACAGGGAGGGGUGUCCCGAGAUGUUCCUUGGCUCACACAGGCAGGAACUUCUGCUGAGCAAGCGGGAAGUGGGAGAAAGAAAGACGUCCUUGCCUUUUUGGCCAAGGAGGAGGGUCAGCAACCAAAGUCUCCGGAAAGACUCUGACCACACUUCUGAAAAGGAGAGCCACAGGCCUGAGACUCAGCGCCCCUGGAAAAGAGGAAGUUCUUUGUCUGUGGGGGAGGCUCCUGGCACUGCCCCGACACCAAACGGAGCCUCAGAGCCCGAACGCCACCUCCGUCAAAGCCAGAAAGGACGGCAGUCUUUGCUCUUCAGCCCCCCAACCUCUGCCCAGAUGUCCAGCCCAGCCUGCAGCUCCCCCCAUGGAAGAUGACGUGCGGCUUUAAUUAUCAAGUGCCCGGAACUCUGGAAUUAGAAAACUAGAAUAUGAAGAUGGUUGACAGCUGAGACAGAAGCUAGAAGGACAAUCCAGGGGCAGCCGUGAUGGAGAGGGGGCAGUAUGGCCGUCACGGAUGAACCAGAGCCUGUCUCCCCAAGAUCACCAGGUAGGGAGGCUGGAUGAAGACCUUGCUAAGCAUCUGCUGAGUCAUGAACAGGCAACUCUUCUGUCCCUUUGGACCUCUAGAGAACCAACUGCACCCCAGGACCUCAAGCCCUCACUUGCAAAAUGCUCCCUUAAGUCUCAACUUAAUUGCUCUCUUGGAUACCAAAGACUCCCACCAUCAUUAUGAAGAAAAAUCGGUCAUUGGCUCCUUUAAAAUAACCCUUGCUACACCAGCUGCUGCUGUGAAGUGCCCUUCAGCCUCUGCUAGCACUGAUUCAAAAGCACCUCACUGAUGUGGUCCUUCAGGGUGGGGGUCCUCCUGCACCGGCAGCUGAGGCGGGUGGUGGGGGCAGUGGGCUGGAAAGCCUGAUUCCACCUCACUUCCCCCCAUAAGAGCAAUGCCUUCUGGGGGGCUGGGAUGGAACACCGCGCGGCAGAAGGAGAUUGUGGGAACAAUAAAUUCAU